rnacentral:misc_RNA from 1 species
UUUCAGGAAGCAAAGAAGAAAACACUUGAUAAUAUAGAAGACGAGGCAAACAAAAGGAAGCUUCUUGAUGAUCCAUACCAGAUUGCUAAANNNNNNNNNNNNNAGAGCAGCUGAUAUAUCUGAAGCCACUAUUGGGUCAACGAGAAUGAAGGAUACAGCAUCACAAGGAAGUGUUCUGGUGGUUGAGGAAGAAGUGCAGGAAGAGGUGGUUUCUAGCGGGAAAGAAUAGGAAAGUUUUUGAGGAUGAAGUUCAGCAAAAAUUGGUUUUCAGCAAGGGAG